rnacentral:rRNA from 1 species
AAGUGCCUACGGGACGCAGCAGUGAGGAAUAUUGGUCAAUGGUCGGGAGACUGAACCAGCCAAGCCGCGUGAGGGAGGAAGGUACAGAGUAUCGUAAACCUCUUUUGUCAGGGAACAAAGACUGGGACGCGUCCCCGGAUGAGUGUACCUGAAGAAAAAGCAUCGGCUAACUCCGUGCCAGCAGCCGCGGUAAUACGGAGGAUGCGAGCGUUAUCCGGAUUUAUUGGGCGUAAAGCGAGUGCAGGCGGUUCAAUAAGUCUGAUGUGAAAGCCUUCGGCUCAACCGGAGAAUU